rnacentral:rRNA from 1 species
GACGAACGCUGGCGGCAGGCUUAACACAUGCAAGUCGAACGAACUCUUCGGAGUGAGUGGCAGACGGGUGCGUAACACGUGGGAACCUACCUUAAGGUACGGGACAACACCGAGAAAUUGGUGCUAAUACCGUAUGUGCCCUUCGGGGGAAAGAUUUAUCGCCUUAAGAUGGGCCCGCGGCAGAUUAGAUUGUUGGUGAGGUAACGGCUCACCAAGUCGACGAUCUGUAGCUGGUCUGAGAGGAUGAUCAGCCACACUGGAACUGAGACACGGUCCAGACUCCUACGGGAGCAGCAGUGGGGAAAAAUGGGGCAAUGGCGAAAGCCUGACCCAGCCAUGCCGCGUGAGUGAUGAAGGCCUUAGGGUUGUAAAACUCUUUCGCCGGUGAAGAUAAUGACGGUAACCGGUAAAGAAGCCCCGGCUAAUUUCGUGCCAGCAGCCGCGGUAAU